CAUUCAAGUGCAUGGCCUCAACUUUGCCACUAAUAAUCUAAAUAAUUUUAGACAAACUAUGAGAGAUUUAAACUAAAUUAGAAGUCCUCCUACUGUGUUUGGUGCAUGUACCUCAGCAGGCUGUUCAGGAGAUGGGAGGAAAGUCAGGCAAACUGAAUUGUGGGCUUUGUAUAUAAAGGGUCUAUUUAAGGUCUUAUUUAAAACAGGAAUCUGGGGAGUUCCCUAGCAGUCCAGUGGUCAGGACUCCAUGCUCUCACUGUAGAGGGCCCAGUUCAGUCCUUGGUCGGGGAACUAAGAUCCCACAAGCUGCAUGGCAAAUUAAACAAAAACAGGAAUCCACUAAUAAACUUUUAAAAAUCUUUUUAAUUUGGGAGGUAAUUAGGUCAUGAAGGUGGUGCCCUCAUAAUGGGAUUAAUGCCUUUAUAAAAAGAGAUUCUUCUCUCUCUCCCUCUUGUUCUUCCCCCUCUUCCCCUCCCUCUCUCUGAUACAAGAAGAUGGUGGUCUCCAAACCAGAAAGAGGGUCAUCAUCAGAUCACUGAGUGUCUUUCUUCAAAGCUGUGAGAAGUAAAUGUUGCCUAAACUUCCCAAACUACAGUCAUUUUAUAGCAGCCCAAGCUAAGACAAUCAUUUACCUAGGUGACUUAUAAAACUCCUUUCAUCCCAGCUUUAAAGUUAUGUCAAGAAGUUAAAAUUGUUGAUUCGUACAAGUGGCAUUAGUCCAACUCUACCACCUUACAGCCACAGCCAGCAGAAAGACUGAGUGGGUUUUGUUGUGACCAUAAUCACUAUCAGUAUAGCAGUGGUCACUGACUAAGGAACCUUUGUAUGUGACUAGUAGGAGAAAACCCAGAGUGGGAUUGCUCAGACAAUGCCGCACUGAUUACUUUAAUGGUAUUUUCUUACUUACGUUUCCUUGGAAUAAAGCUUUAAGUUUCAGCAGCUGAUCUCCUUUUGAAGGCUCUUUCAGCUUUCAGUUUCUUUCAUUCCUGACUUGAGCCUUCUGGUAGUAAAGGCUAAAUCCUAAGUUAUCUGAGUGACUCACCUCAGGUAACUGAGAGUGAAAGAGAAACAGGAAGUACCUAUGGUGAGAGCUAGAGACAGUUGCCUGAAAACAAGCCAAUUUCCUGCCCAGGACAUUAAUUUCUCCUAAAGCCACUGCAUCACUUUCCAGUUCAUCCAGUAUUUUAACCCAACGUUUUACUCUGGCGUGAUCUGUUCUUCUUAUGUGACUAAAGAACUUCUGACUCCUCUGUUUCUGCUGUUUCCCAUAAAAGGAAAUCGGGUGAGAAAUGCUGAAAUAGCUCCACCCAGAUGGUUAAAGCAAUAGAGUUGGA
rnacentral:lncRNA from 1 species